rnacentral:RNase_P_RNA from 2 species
AGACGGUUGUACGGUUGCGGCAGAGAAAUCUGACGAGGAAAGUCCGAGCUCCACACGGCAGGAUGCCGCCUAACGGACGGUGAAGGUGACUUUAAGGAAAGUGCAACAGAAAAUUACCGCAAAGCAUACGCUUUGUAAGGAUGAAAAGGCGAGGUAAGAGCUCACCGGCGCGGUGGAGACAUCGCGCGCUGUGUAAACCCCAUCCGGAGCAAGAUAGGGGCAGCCCGUAAGAUAGCCGGUCGGGGCUGCCCGUGAAACGUCGCUUGAGCUUGUCGGCAACGGCAAGAGUAGAUAGAUAACCGUAUUAAAUGACAGAACUCGGCUUACAGACCGUCUCGA